rnacentral:lncRNA from 1 species
UCCCAUCGAGCCAGCAAACCAGUCCUACCAUACCACACAGCACGGUGCAUCAACGGUUGCUCUACUUUCACUCGGCCUUCCCACUACGACAACUAUGCCCUGGAUUGUGCUAUCGUAGCACAUCUCCCCCACAAACAUGUCCAACAUACACUUAACAGUUUGUAGUGAUUUUAAUGUGUCAUCUUCGCCUCUUUUAUUAAUCUGUAAUUGUUGAUGUAAAGAAUGAGACAUAUAGAACUG